ACGGGACCGCACAAGCGGUGGAUGAUGUGGAUUAAUUCGAGGCUACGCGAAGAACCUUACCUGGGUUUGAAGCGGUAGGUAUAAGCAUGUCGAAAGAUGUGUGAUUGCCCUUCGGGGUGUAACCUAUCACAGGUGCUGCAUGGCUGUCGUCAGCUCGUGUCGUGAGAUGUUCGGUUAAGUCCGCUAACGAGCGCAACCCUCACUGUGUGUUAUAUGUGUCACACGGGACUGCCGGUUUAAGCCGGAGGAAGGUGGGGAUGACGUCAAGUCAGCAUGGCCUUUAUAUCCUGGGCUACACACACGCUACAAUGGUCGGUACAAUAGGUUGCCAAGCCGCGAGGCGGAGCCAAUCCACAAAGCCGGCCUCAGUUCAGAUUGUAGGCUGCAACUCGCCUGCAUGAAGAUGGAGUUGCUAGUAACCGCAGGUCAGCAAUACUGCGGUGAAUACGUUCCCGGGUCUU
rnacentral:rRNA from 1 species